rnacentral:rRNA from 1 species
GGCAGUGCGCGUGCUUACCAUGCAGUCGAACGGUGAAGCAGAGCUUGCUCUGUGGAUCAGUGGCGAACGGGUGAGUAACACGUGAGCAACCUGCCCUUGACUCUGGGAUAAGCGCUGGAAACGGCGUCUAAUACCGGAUAUGAGCUGCGAUCGCAUGGUCAGCAGUUGGAAAGAUUUUUCGGUCUGGGAUGGGCUCACGGCCUAUCAGCUUGUUGGUGAGGUAAUGGCUCACCAAGGCGUCGACGGGUAGCCGGCCUGAGAGGGUGACCGGCCACACUGGGACUGAGACACGGCCCAGACUCCUACGGGAGGCAGCAGUGGGGAAUAUUGCACAAUGGGCGAAAGCCUGAUGCAGCAACGCCGCGUGAGGGAUGACGGCCUUCGGGUUGUAAACCUCUUUUAGCAGGGAAGAAGCGAAAGUGACGGUACCUGCAGAAAAAGCGCCGGCUAACUACGUGCCAGCAGCCGCGGUAAUACGUAGGGCGCAAGCGUUAUCCGGAAUUAUUGGGCGUAAAGAGCUCGUAGGCGGUUUGUCGCGUCUGCUGUGAAAUCCCGAGGCUCAACCUCGGGUCUGCAGUGGGUACGGGCAGACUAGAGUGCGGUAGGGGAGAUUGGAAUUCCUGGUGUAGCGGUGGAAUGCGCAGAUAUCAGGAGGAACACCGAUGGCGAAGGCAGAUCUCUGGGCCGUUACUGACGCUGAGGAGCGAAAGGGUGGGGAGCAAACAGGCUUAGAUACCCUGGUAGUCCACCCCGUAAACGUUGGGAACUAGUUGUGGGGUCCAUUCCACGGAUUCCGUGAC